AAGUCGUAACAAGGUUUCCGUAGGUGAACCUGCGGAAGGAUCAUUAACACGUAUCCAAACGUUAAAACCCCCCUGUGAACCUUCACCACUUCUUAAGCCCUCCCGGGGGUAGAGCAGGCAAUCCCUAGUAAAUCAUUGUCUUAACAGGUUUUGAGUUAGGGACGUCCCCCACCCUAAAACCGAACAACUGUUAACAAUGGAUAUCUUGGUUCUC
rnacentral:misc_RNA from 1 species